UGAAGUUGCUGAUGCCAUACUUCCAGGAAAAGCCUCUAAGCUUCAGAUUAUACCGAAUCGUACCCCAAACCGACACAGGUGGUCAGGUAGAGAAUACUAAGGCGCUUGAGAGAACUCGGGUGAAGGAACUAGGCAAAAUCGUACCGUAACUUCGGGAGAAGGUACGCUCCUAUCUGUGAUGAGACUUGCUCUCUAAGCGGACGGGAGCCGCAGUGACCAGGUGGCUGGGACUGUUUAUUAAAAACACAGCACUGUGCAAAAUCGCAAGAUGACGUAUACGGUGUGACACCUGCCCGGUGCCGGAAGGUUAAUUGAUGGGGUUAUCUUCGGAGAAGCUCUUGAUCGAAGCCCCGGUAAACGGCGGCCGUAACUAUAACGGUCCUAAGGUAGCGAAAUUCCUUGUCGGGUAAGUUCCGACCUGCACGAAUGGUGUAACCAUGGCCACGCUGUCUCCACCCGAGACUCAGUGAAAUUGAAAUCGCAGUGAAGAUGCUGUGUACCCGCGGCUAGACGGAAAGACCCCGUGAACCUUUACUACAGCUUGGCACUGAACAUUGAACCUACAUGUGUAGGAUAGGUGGGAGACUUUGAAGAUGAGACGCUAGUCUUGUUGGAGUCGUCCUUGAAAUACCACCCUUGUAGUUUUGAUGUUCUAACGUUGGCCCCUGAAUCGGGGUUACGGACAGUGCCUGGUGGGUAGUUUGACUGGGGCGGUCUCCUCCCAAAGAGUAACGGAGGAGCACGAAGGUUGGCUAAGUACGGUCGGACAUCGUACGGUUAGUGUAAUGGUAGAAGCCAGCUUAACUGCGAGACAGACACGUCGAGCAGGUACGAAAGUAGGUCAUAGUGAUCCGGUGGUUCUGAAUGGAAGGGCCAUCGCUCAACGGAUAAAAGGUACUCCGGGGAUAACAGGCUGAUACCGCCCAAGAGUUCAUAUCGACGGCGGUGUUUGGCACCUCGAUGUCGGCUCAUCACAUCCUGGGGCUGAAGUCGGUCCCAAGGGUAUGGCUGUUCGCCAUUUAAAGUGGUACGCGAGCUGGGUUUAGAACGUCGUGAGACAGUUCGGUCCCUAUCUGCCGUGGGCGUUUGAGAAUUGAGAGGGGUUGCUCCUAGUACGAGAGGACCGGAGUGAACGAACCGCUGGUGUUCGGGUUGUCAUGCCAAUGGCAUUGCCCGGUAGCUACGUUCGGAACUGAUAAGCGCUGAAAGCAUCUAAGCGCGAAGCAGGCCUCGAGAUGAGUUCUCACUAGACUUUUAAAGUCUCUGAAGGGCCGUUGAAGACUACAACGUUGAUAGGCAAGAUGUGGAAGUGGUGUGAGCCAUUAAGCUAACUUGUACUAAUUACCCGUGAGGCUUAACCAU
rnacentral:rRNA from 1 species